rnacentral:tRNA from 1 species
GCAAUGGUGGUUCAGCUGUGGAGUUCUUGCCUUCUAUGCUGGAAACCCGGGUUCCAUUCCCAGCCAGUGCA